rnacentral:SRP_RNA from 4 species
CCGUGCUAGACGGGGAGGUAGCGGUGCCCUGUAACUCGCAAUCCGCUGUAGCGGGGUUGAACUCCUGCCUAGCGGUGCAGUCAGUGUAAGGUCUGGCUUUUACACGUGGUGUUGAGAGUCGGGUCCUUCGCAAUGAGAGCUUGUGAAUCCGGUCAGGUCCGGAAGGAAGCAGCCGUAAGCAAGAUGCCUCAUGUGCCGAAGGGUUACCUAACUUGAGCUAACGAUAAGAGUACGCUUGGACUGCUGCAUCAAUAGCAGGUGCACGG